AUUGAACGCUGGCGGCAUGCUUUACACAUGCAAGUCGAACGGUAACAGGCCGCAAGGUGCUGACGAGUGGCGAACGGGUGAGUAAUGCAUCGGAACGUGCCCAGUCGUGGGGGAUAACGCAGCGAAAGCUGUGCUAAUACCGCAUACGAUCUAUGGAUGAAAGCGGGGGACCGAAAGGCCUCGCGCGAUUGGAGCGGCCGAUGUCAGAUUAGGUAGUUGGUGGGGUAAAGGCCUACCAAGCCAACGAUCCGUAGCCGAUCUGAGAGAACGACCAGCCACACUAGGACUGAGACACGGCCCAGACUCCUACGGGAGGCAGCAGUCGGGAAUUUUGGACAAUGGGCGCAAGCCUGAUCCAGCAAUGCCGCGUGCAGGAAGAAGGACUUCGGGUUGUAAAAUGCUUUUGUGCGGAACGAAACGGUCUGGAUUAAUACCCUGAACUAAUGACGGUACCGUAAGAAUAAGCACCGGCUAACUACGUG
rnacentral:rRNA from 1 species